rnacentral:rRNA from 1 species
UACGGAGGGUGCAAGCGUUGCUCGGAAUUAUUGGGCGUAAAGGGUAGGUAGGUGGUCUUAUUUGUCUGGGGUGAAAGCCUUGAGCUUAACUCAAGAAGUGCCCCAGAAACGGUGAGACUGGAGUCCUGGAGAGGGUCGUGGAAUUCCCGGUGUAGCGGUGAAAUGCGUAGAGAUCGGGAGGAACACCAGAGGCGAAAGCGGCGACCUGGGCAGGUACUGACACUCAACUACGAAAGCGUGGGGAGCAAACAGG